rnacentral:rRNA from 1 species
AGCGAACGCUGGCGGCAGGCCUAACACAUGCAAGUCGAACGAUCCUUCGGGAUAGUGGCGGACGGGUGAGUAACACGUGGGAACGUACCUUUAGGUUCGGGAUAACUCAGGGAAACUUGAGCUAUACCGGAUAAGCCCUUUUGGGGAAAGAUUUAUCGCCUUUAGAGCGGCCCGCGUUAGAUUAGCUAGUUGGUGGGGUAAAGGCCCACCAAGGCUCCGAUCUAUAGCUGGUCUGAGAGGAUGAUCAGCCACACUGGGACUGAGACACGGCCCAGACUCCUACGGGAGGCAGCAGUGGGGAAUCUUGCGCAAUGGGCGAAAGCCUGACGCAGCCAUGCCGCGUGAAUGAUGAAGGUCUUAGGAUUGUAAAAUUCUCUUAGCAGGGACGAUAAUGACGGUACCUGCAGAAAAAGCCCCGGCUAACUUCGUGCCAGCCGCCGCGGUAACAC